UACAGAGGUCUCAAGCGUUGUUCGGAUUCAUUGGGCGUAAAGGGUGCGUAGGUGGCGGGGCAAGUUUGGUGUGAAAUCCCGGGGCUCAACCUCGGAACUGCACUGAAUACUGCCUUGCUUGAGCACUGGAGAGGGAACUGGAAUUUACGGUGGUAGCAGUGAAAUGCGUAGAUAUCGUAAGGAAGACCAGUGGCGAAGGCGAGUUCCUGGACAGUUGCUGACACUGAGGCACGAAGGCUAGGGGAGGCAAACGGG
rnacentral:rRNA from 1 species